rnacentral:rRNA from 1 species
AUUGAACGCUGGCGGCAUGCUUUACACAUGCAAGUCGAACGGUAACAGGCCGCAAGGUGCUGACGAGAGGCGAACGGGUGAGUAAUGCAUCGGAACGUGCCCAGUCGUGGGGGAUAACGCAGCGAAAGCUGUGCUAAUACCGCAUACGAUCUAUGGAUGAAAGCGGGGGACCGUAAGGCCUCGCGCGAUUGGAGCGGCCGAUGUCAGAUUAGGUAGUUGGUGGGGUAAAGGCCCACCAAGCCAACGAUCUGUAGCUGGUCUGAGAGGACGACCAGCCACACUGGGACUGAGACACGGCCCAGACGCCUACGGGAGGCAGCAGUGGGGAAUUUUGGACAAUGGGCGCAAGCCUGAUCCAGCAAUGCCGCGUGCAGGAAGAAGGCCUUCGGGUUGUAAACUGCUUUUGUACGGAACGAAACGGUCUGGGUUAAUACCCUGGGCUAAUGACGGUACCGUAAGAAUAAGCACCGGCUAACUACGUGCCAGCCGCCGCAGUAACAC